rnacentral:rRNA from 1 species
AGUGAAGCGGGAUGAGCUCAAAUUUAAAAUCUGGCGGCCUCAGGUCGUCCGAGUUGUAGUCUAGAGAAUCGUUUUCCGCGUUGGCCUGUGUACAAGUCCCUUGGAACAGGGCGUCAUAGAGGGUGAGAAUCCCGUCCUUGACACAGAUUACCAAUGCUUUGUGAUGCGAUCUCGAAGAGUCGAGUUGUUUGGGAAUGCAGCUCAAAAUGGGUGGUAAAUUCCAUCUAAAGCUAAAUAUUGGCGAGAGACCGAUAGCGAACAAGUACCGUGAGGGAAAGAUGAAAAGCACUUUGGAAAGAGAGUUAAACAGUACGUGAAAUUGUUAAAAGGGAAACGAUUGAAGUCAGUCAUGCUUUCCGAGACUCAGCCGAUUCUGUCGGUGUACUUCUCGGUUGGCAGGCCAGCAUCAGUUUCGAUCUGUGGAAAAGGUUGGAGGGAACGUGGCAUCCUCGGAUGUGUUAUAGCCCUUCUUCGAAUACAUAGAGCGGGACUGAGGAACGCAGCGCGCCUUUUAUUAGGUUGGCCCUCGGGUACAUACGCGCUUAGGAUGCUGGCAUAAUGGCUUUAAACGACCCGUCUUGA